UCAUUCAAUUAAUUAUGUUCUUUACUUCUCUCUUCAUGAGAGCUGGGAUAUGCAGUGAUUAGUUCAGUAGUCGUACCGGGUCAAACUCUCCAAAUUCCCCUUUCUCACACUAUAAGUAACCGUUGAUGUUAUUCACCUGCUCCUCCGCACACUGAUUGAUGGAACCUACCACCUCUGUGUCUCCCAAUCCGAGUAGAACCUCACAGAUAAUAGUUCUGAUGGGCUUUGACUUGGUCUUGCGAUGUUGUUGAUACAUGAGCAGUUACUGUUACCAUUUCAGAAGGUUUAGAGCAGCUUCAACUUCCCCGUGAGCACCGCUGAUUCUCCACACGUAGGAGGUGAACAAUUCCCACUCAAGCAUGUGAUAUAGGCAUAUAGCAGCAGCUGCAAAUGUAGCUCUUAAAAGAAUCAGAGACGGAACGCCUGGCAACCGUUGCAUCUUAUUUUAAUCUUUAUUUGCGGUAGGUUUUCAAUAAUUAUCUGCUGAUAUUCGUGAUUGUUAAGCUUUUAGUUCUCUCUCCCUCUUGGUUUAUUGCUAAUGUCUGGAAGAAUCUCAUGAGAUGAAGAAGAUAACGUUUGGGGAUCAGAAAGUGAUCUUUACACAGGAAGAAAGAAAGAGUAAAUGUUUCUGGAAAUUUUCAAUACCAUAUAUACACAUAAAGAUGUAUAUAUCAAUAUCCAAGUUAGGAACCUUUUAAAAAUUAUUUGAUUAACAAAUUGGAAGCAUCGACUGUAUGCAUUGGGAGUGGAAGAAUUGUCCGACCGCUUGGAAAGGAAUGUAUUCACGAGGACACGAUAAACCAACAAUUGUGUUGGAGGCGGUAGCUUCUCAAGACCUCUGGAUAUGGCACGCGUUUUUUGGAGCUCCAGGUACUUUGAACGAUCUUAAUAUUCUUGAUCGAUCACCUGUUUUUGAUGAAAUAAUUAACGGAGACGCUCCCGAAGUCAAUUUCCAUGUCAACGGCAGGGAAUACGGUUUGGCUUACUUUCUUGCCGAUGGUAUUUAUCCGAAAUGGGCUUCUUUUAUUCAAUCUAUCCGACUCCCACAAGGUCAAAAACAAUCUUUAUUUGCUACCACGCAAGAAUCCGUGCGAAAGGAUGUUGAGCGUGCCUUCGGAGUCCUCCAAUCUAGAUUUGCGAUUGUAAGAAAUCCAUCAAAAUUAUGGGAUAAACACAAAAUAGGAAAUAUUAUCAAAGCAUGUAUCAUACUUCAUAAUAUGAUUGUCGAAGAUGAACGAGGUUCCUACCUUCACGCUUCAGAAUUUCAACAACCAGAAGAUCAGGAUCCCACUUUUGUAGUCAAACGGCCUACAAACUUCCGUACUACACUGGGUCGUCGAGCAGAAGUUCGAGAUACUCAAGGCCAUCAUCAAUUAAAACAAGAUUUGGUUGAACAUAUAUGGGCUAAAUUUGGGCAUCUACCGAGUCACAACAAUGUUUAAGUUUAUUUGAAUUCAAUAUAAUGUUUUUUUGCUUUUUUUAUCUUCUUUGUAAUUUUUUUCCUUAAUUUUCAACUUUCUAUUCUCUCAUGUUUUUCUCAAUAUUAUUUAUUUCUUUUUUAAUUAAAAUAUUUAAUUAAUUUC